rnacentral:misc_RNA from 1 species
UCUCCGUUGGUGAACCAGCGGAGGGAUCAUUAAAGAUUCGGCCCUCGGGCCAACUCUCCAGCUGUGCGCUUUGGCUGCACGCUGUUGAAUCUCACACACCUGUGAACAUUCCGGUUGUGAGUUGCCUUAUGGCUACUCACUUCCGCCUUUACAUCAAACCACAAAGUCUAGAAUGUAAAAACUAUAAAGUAACAACUUUCAACAACGGAUCUCUUGGCUCUCGCAUCGAUGAAGAACGCAGC